UCUGCGCUCCCUCUGGAUCAGUCACAAAACCCCAUAGAGAUUGUGUCUGUUCACCGUCCGAUUAAAUUAUUGAAAUUAAACAAUAAUAGAGCGAGAACUCCACACAAAAAUUUAAUACAAAUUAAAACAACCUCUGAAACAAUACAGGAAACCCAGACUUUUAAAUGUGGUCUUUUAAACAUUAGAUCACUGGAAAAAAAGGCUCUUUUAGUUAAUGAAAUAGUCUCUGAUUACAACAUAGAUUUAUUGUCCCUCACUGAGACGUGGCUGCAUCCUGAUGAUUAUGUCAGUCUAAAUGAAUCUACUCCCCCCAGUCAUAUCAAUUCACAGGUUCCUAGAGAAAUUGGGCGAGGAGGUGGAGUUGCUGCUAUUUUUAACUCCAGUCUAUCAAUUAAUCCUAAACCUAAACUCAGCUACAAGUCAUUUGAAUGUCUGGUUCUUAGUCUUCCACGCCAAUCCAGGAACCACCAACAGCCAAUCAUAUUUGCCGUAGUUUACCGUGCUCCCAGGGCUUAUACUGAAUUUUUAAAGGAAUUCCCUGAGUUUUUAUCAAACUUAGUCCUAAAGACCGAUAAAAUUAUUAUUGUUGGUGACUUUAAUAUUCAUGUUGAUAAUAAUAAAGAUUGCCUUAGCGUAGCAUUUAUUUCAAUACUAGACUCUAUUGGUUUCAGUCAGUGUGUGCACAAACCUACUCAUUGUGGUAACCACACACUUGACCUUGUAUUAUCGUACGGUGUCGCAAUUGAAAAUUUAACAGUACUUCCGCGCAAUCCAGUUCUAUCAGACCAUAAUUUAAUAACCUUUGAUUUUUCAAUAACUGAAUAUAUGCCACUAAUAAAAAAUUCAUUUUCUAGAUGUCUACCUGAUAGUGCUGUAGCUAAAUUUAAGGAAAUAAUCCCAAUUACAUUUAAACCCGUAUUAGCAGUACAUAUAAACAACAAAUUCUUUAAAACCCUGAGCUCCAUUGAGAUCGACCACCUCGUCGAUAGCUCUGCAGACUCAUUACAAUUAACAUUAGACUCAAUAGCGCCUCUAAAAAAGAAAAAUGUCAAACAUAGUAAAUUAGCUCCGUGGUAUAAUUCCCAGACAAAUGAGUUAAAACAAUUAUCAAGAAAACUAGAAAGGAAGUGGCGCUCCAGCAACAAUGUUGAAAACCUCAUAGACUGGAAGAAUAGUGUUAAAGAAUAUAAAAAGGCUCUCCACAAAGUAAGAGCCGCCUACUAUUCAAAACUAAUAGAAGAGAAUAAAAAUAACCCCAGGUUUCUCUUCUGCACUGUAGCCAGGCUGACAGAGAGUCACACCUCCACCGAACCCAGUAUUCCUCCAUCCCAAAAUAGCAAUAUCUUUAUGACCUUUUUUUAAUGAUACAAUUCAAACUAUUAGAAAUAAAAUCAACCAUCUCCUGCCCUCAAUUGGCACUAAUACCCUCCCAACAACAGAGAUCUCAGAAACGGCUGAGAAUCCUACCCAUUACUUAGACAGCUUCUCUCUGAUCACCCGUGAUCAGUUUACCAAAUUAAUCUCAGGUUCUAAACCAACAACCUGUAUCUUAGAUCCCAUUCCUACCAACUUACUUAAAGACAUUCUGCCCCUAAUUGAUAGUUCGUUACUUAACAUUAUCAAUCUGUCAUUAUCAUCAGGUUAUGUACCACAGUCUUUUAAAAUAGCUGUCAUCAAACCCCUACUCAAAAAACCCACCCUAGACCCAGAGGUUUUAGCCAAUUACAGACUAUCUAACCUCUCCUUCAUUUCUAAAAUCUUAGAAAAAGUGGUAGCCAAUCAGCUGUGUGAGUUUCUCCAGGAAAAUAAUAUAUAUGAAGACUUUCAAUCGGGGUUUAGAGCCAAUCACAGUACAGAGACAGCCUUGGCAAAAGUCACUAAUGACCUUUUAAUAGCCUCAGAUCAGGGACUUGUGUCUGUCCUCGUUCUGUUAGAUCUCAGUGCAGCAUUCGACACAAUUGACCAUCAAAUUUUAUUACAAAGACUAAAACAGUUAAUUAACAUUAAUGGAACCGCCCUUAACUGGUUUAAAUCGUAUUUUUCUGAUCGCUCCCAAUUUGUGCAAAUUAAUGAUGAGUCAUCUGUGCGCACCAAAGUUAAUCAUGGUGUUCCACAGGGCUCUGUGCUCGGCCCAAUUUUAUUCUCAUUAUAUAUGCUUCCACUAGGAAACAUUAUCAGGACACACUCUGUAAAUUUCCACUGCUAUGCGGAUGACACCCAGUUAUAUUUGUCAAUAAAACCUGAACAAAGUAAUCAAUUAACUAAACUUCGAACAUGUCUCAAGGACAUAAAAACUUGGAUGACCCGCAAUUUUCUCUUAUUAAACUCAGACAAAACAGAGGUUAUAAUACUUGGCCCCAAACACCUUAGAGAUGCAUUAUCUAAUGAUAUAGCUGCGCUAGACGACAUUGCCCUUGCUUCCAAUGAAACAGUCAGGAACUUGGGAGUGAUCUUCGAUCCUGAUUUAUCCUUUAAUAGUCACUUAAAACAAAUUUCUAGGACCGCUUUUUUUCCACUUGCGUAAUAUUUCAAAAAUUAGACAUGUCCUUUCACAAAAAGAUGCAGAAAAACUAGUCCACGCCUUUGUUACAUCGAGACUGGACUAUUGUAAUUCAUUAUUAUCAGGCUCCAGCAGGAAGUCGUUAAAGACUCUACAGCUUGUCCAAAAUGCUGCAGCACGUGUCCUGACGAGAACAAAGAGAAGAGAGCACAUUUCUCCAAUAUUAGCAUCGCUACACUGGCUUCCAGUUAAAUCUAGAAUAGAAUUUAAAAUUCUCCUCCUCACCUUCAAGGCCCUUAAUAAUAUAGCGCCUUUAUACCUUAAAGAGCUGUUAAUACCUUAUAAACCCACUAGAGCACUCCGCUCCCAGAAUUCAAGCCUACUUGUCGUCCCUAAAUUCUCUAAAAGUAGAGUAGGAGCCAGAGCUUUUAGCCAUCAAGCCCCUCGGCUGUGGAAUAAUCUACCACUUUCAGUUCGGGAGGCAGACACCAUCUGUUCGUUUAAAAAUCCAGGGCCUCUGUGGCCGCACCAUGGAUUACGGUUUGUGGAUCGCGCACCGGGGGUCGCGGUGUUGGAUCCAGUGUGGCGGAUUCUGAGUCAUGUGGGCUGAUCGUGGUGCUGGUGGCGGACCCUGUGUCGCGUUGGCAUUGGGCACGGGCGGUGGACCAGGACCGCAGUGGUGGCUUGUGAUGGGUCCUCCUGGUGGGCGGCGGUGGACGGUGACUGAGGACUGAAGUGGCGUCUGGUCUGGAUGGUGGAUCGUGGUCUAGAUGGUUGCUGAGCAUGGACUGUGCUUCAUCAAUGCUGCUAGAGACUUUGAUUAUUGAUGAUGUUCUCCUGCACGUGGCAUCUAUUGCACUUCUGUCCGUCCUGGGAGAGGGAUCCCUCACAUGUGGCUCUCUCUGAGGUUUCUACAUAUUUUUACCCUGUUAAAAGGGUUUUUUGUAGUUUUUCCUUACUCUUGCUGAGGGUUAAGGACAGAGGAUGUCACACCCUGUUAAAGCCCUAUGAGAUGAAUUGUAAUUUGUGAAUAUGGGCUAUACAAAUAAAAUUUGAUUGAUUGAUUGA